AGAGGAUUUAUUGGGGUAUGCCCGGAGAGCCCAGCCCUUUGCACAGCUGCAAGAGUAAAAGUUACAGAGGCUGGUGGAUUUUUGAUUGUUUGGCGAAUAUUUAUCAACAACAGAACAGAUUUCCUCAGCUAGAAGAAAACAGUAAAGACUAGUUCAUCCCAUAGUCUGCCCAGAAGAUUGAUCGUUAGAAAUUACUUUAUUGACCCAUGGCUCUGCUCAGCAUCCUGCGCUUCAGCGAACCAAGCAAUCAACACAUGCUAAAUGCAGGGCACGAGAUAACUUCAAAACAUAACCAUCUAACUGUCAGUGGAAGAACUAUCCUCUUUU